AUAUCUUUCUCGGUCUUUUGGCUAAAACAAAGUGUAAUAUUUAUUCUUAUCAAUUUAAUAUCUGGUCUAUAAACAAUAUGUUCACUUUGAUAUUAAAUCUAUAUAUUAUUGAUAAUUUUUGGGGAGGGUCCAUAUGACUGGUUUAUUUCGCUUAACCAUUGAUUGUAUUGUGGGUACGGCCUCAUCAUCCCAACCAAUAUCAU
rfam:Zea mays cultivar B73 chromosome 4, whole genome shotgun sequence.